AGAGUUUGAUCCUGGCUCAGGACGAACGCUGGCGGCGUGCUUAACACAUGCAAGUCGAACGAAGAGCGAUGGAAGCUUGCUUCUAUCAAUCUUAGUGGCGAACGGGUGAGUAACGCGUAAUCAACCUGCCCUUCAGAGGGGGACAACAGUUGGAAACGACUGCUAAUACCGCAUACGAUCCAAUCUCGGCAUCGAGACUGGAUGAAAGGUGGCCUCUAUUUAUAAGCUAUCACUGAAGGAGGGGAUUGCGUCUGAUUAGCUAGUUGGAGGGGUAACGGCCCACCAAGGCGAUGAUCAGUAGCCGGUCUGAGAGGAUGAACGGCCACAUUGGGACUGAGACACGGCCCAAACUCCUACGGGAGGCAGCAGUGGGGAAUCUUCCGCAAUGGACGAAAGUCUGACGGAGCAACGCCGCGUGAGUGAUGACGGCCUUCGGGUUGUAAAGCUCUGUUAAUCGGGACGAAAGGCCUUCUUGCGAAUAGUGAGAAGGAUUGACGGUACCGGAAUAGAAAGCCACGGCUAACUACGUGCCAGCAGCCGCGGUAAUACGUAGGUGGCAAGCGUUGUCCGGAAUUAUUGGGCGUAAAGCGCGCGCAGGCGGAUUGGUCAGUCUGUCUUAAAAGUUCGGGGCUUAACCCCGUGAUGGGAUGGAAACUGCCAAUCUAGAGUAUCGGAGAGGAAAGUGGAAUUCCUAGUGUAGCGGUGAAAUGCGUAGAUAUUAGGAAGAACACCAGUGGCGAAGGCGGCUUACUGGACGGUAACUGACGUUGAGGCUCGAAAGCGUGGGGAGCAAACAGGAUUAGAUACCCUGGUAGUCCACGCC
rnacentral:rRNA from 1 species